AUUUUGCUUUAGCCAGUAGGCCCUCAGUGUCAAAUUCUCCAGAUUGGACGGUGAUGUUGAUGUCAUCAAUGAUCUUAACAAGGUCAACCAACAAACCUGGUCGGUCAGCUGUUUCCACUACAAGUAAGCUUCUGUCAGGGCCAUCAUCAUAUAUGUCUAUGUGGGUUGCUAUGUCCACAUCAACCAGUUCUGUAGGGGGCUCUGGACCAAAAGUUGCACCCAGAGCCAAUUGGCUGCUAGCUUCUGGGUGGUACUGAAUCAUGUUGUUUAUAAUUGUCAGCCGUACUGCUUCUAACAACUCUGGUUCACCAAUUUUGCGACCAGUCGACAAUUUUGUUAUAGCUAACUUAAUAUGCUUGCCAGUAGAAUCGAGGCAGACGCUAGCUUUCACAACAUUUAGCCCUAAAUUCUUCAGGGCAUUCA
rnacentral:misc_RNA from 1 species